rnacentral:rRNA from 1 species
UACGGGGGGGGUAAGCGUUGUUCGGAAUUACUGGGCGUAAAGGGCUCGUAGGCGGCCAACUAAGUCGGACGUGAAAUCCCUCAGCUUAACUGGGGAACUGCGUCCGAUACUGGAUGGCUUGGAUUUGGGAGAGGGAUGCGGAAUUCCAGGUGUAGCGGUGAAAUGCGUAGAUAUCGGGAGGAACACCGGUGGCGAAGGCGGCGACCUGGGUAGAUACUGACGCUGAGGUGCGAAAGCGUGGGGAGCAAACAGG